rnacentral:rRNA from 1 species
UACGGGGGGUGCGAGCGUUGUCCGGAAUCACUGGGCGUAAAGGGCGCGUAGGUGGUUUGAUAAGGGUGUGGUGAAAGUCCGGGGCUCAACCCCGGAUCUGCCGUGCCGACUGUCAAACUCGAGGGCUGUAGAGGCAGACGGAAUUCCGGGUGUAGCGGUGGAAUGCGUAGAGAUCCGGAGGAAGACCGGUGGCGAAGGCGGUCUGCUGGGCAGUUUCUGACACUGAUGCGCGACAGCGUGGGGAGCAAACCGG